UUCAUUCUCUCCACACUCUCUUACACGACCACUUGGAGAUUCCCUCCACUUUCUCACAGUUUCCUUCAUACCAAACAAGGGGAGGCUUGUUUUAAUAGAGGGAUUUCGUUGUUUACAAGGAGGAACCACACUUGCUAUUUGUUUCAUUUCGUGGAUUUUUGUGAAGAUGAUGAUUACGAGCAGGCAGGCCAGGAGUAGAA